rnacentral:misc_RNA from 1 species
AUGAUAAAGCAGAGUGUGGGGAUAGAAAGGAUGAUGUGCUGGUUUCUCCCAAUGAUUUCACUCUUCAACGAGCCCUAGCUGCUGAUCGGCUAAAAAGUCUUAAGAGGACAAAGGUUCAAAUUGAGAAAGAACUUUCAAAUUUGCAUGAGGAUGACACUACCAAGGGAGUUGACUAUGAAAAUCUGUUGGCAGACAUGGUUAGGGAAGAAACUAGACGAAAUAGAAAUGUGAAAGAAGUUCAGAAACCAGGCAAAAAAAAGGAAAGGAG